UUUGCUCUUCAUUUCAACAUGUCUUUUCCUCUUACUCUUUGUGAUUUUCACUUGAUCCUUUUGAGUUUUGAUUCCAAAGUUCUUAAGAGACAGAGAUCCUAUUGGCUGGUGCAAGACCAUAGCAGUUGUGUGUGUGUGUGUGUGUGAGAGAGAGAGAGAGAGAGAGAGAGAGAGAGAGAGAGAGAGAGAGAGGGAGAGGGAGAGGGAGAGGGAGAGCGCUGAGUCACUGUCUCCCAUUUCUGGCUUUGCUUCUCACAUCCACAACCCAUGUGCUCUACUUCCAUUUUUUCCUCUCAUUCCUGUUCCAAGCACAUCUGAAGGUCAAAAGGAGCAUCUCGGAAUCCUCAAGAAACAAGAAGAAAACACACUUGGAUUUUCAAAUAUCUCGAUAUUUUAACUGUGUUUUUUAAAAAAGGAUAAACAGCUCUUUUAAUCAGAAAAAGUUCAGGCAUUAUAGUAUAAAUGAAAGAAUCUCAGUCAAAAAAGCUCAACAUUCGACUAUCUGGACAGCAAUAGAGCAUGCACUCAAAGUGAAAAGAAAAUGACAUGAUGCUUAAACAAUGUUUUAAAGUCCCCCCUGCCACCCAUUUUAGGGGGAGGGGGCAUGGGGAGGAGCUUGGAUGAUGAAAGUAAGAGCAUCCCAAGGGUGGAUGAAGACAUUAAAAGUGAGCAAUAUCCAGUUGCUUCCAGCUGGCUGGCCUGUUUUAACCCAGGGGAAAAAAAAUGGCAUUGGUAACUAGUUUUGUUUCUCUUUACCAUCGGAAAAAUAUUCAGAGAAAAACACUUCUUAUUCAUUUGGCAAAUAUUUACUGAGCUCCAAUCAUGUGCUAGGUACUAUUCUAAAUGAUAAUUAAACAGCUGUGAACCUGCCUGGCCCCUAUAGUUUUGAGGAUACUAAGUACAGGUCACUUUGGCCAUCAAAUUCAGUGUCAUUUUCAGUUCCACAGAAGUCCCUUAAAUGCUGAGCUACAGAGGUGGAUUCUUAGUAAAACCAAAGAAUUUUAAGCUUCAUAGUUGCUUACUUUUAUGGGCCUUUCCUGUGCAUCCUCCUCAAGAAUUUAGUACUCAUUUCAAUACAUGGGCCACUGCUCAUGAAUUAUGAAUUAUAGGUGAGCUCAAUGGGUUGCCAGUAACCCUUUUAUUUUGGCUGGCCCCCAGUGACAUUCUACAUUGUGUGGGGGCUUCCCCAGGUAUCCCAAACCCAACUCUGGCAUCAAGAAGAUUCUUUUUUUUUCCUUUUAACGAUUUUUAUUUUUCUAUUAUAGUUGGUUUAGAGUGUUCUGUCAAUUUUCUGCUGAACAGCAAAGUGACCCAGUCACACAUGCAUAUAUAUACAUUCUUUUUUUCUCACAUUAUCCUCCACAGUGCUCCAGCAUAAGUGACUAGAUAUACUUCCC
rnacentral:lncRNA from 1 species